CCAUUCUAGGGUUUUUUUUUUUUUUACUGAAGGGAGCCAUUCUAGGAGGGUUUUCUACUGAAGGGGGCCAUUCUAGGAUGGUUUUCUACUGAAGGGGGCCGUUCUAAGAGGGUUUUCUACUUAAGGGGGCCAUUCUAGGAGGGUUUUCUACUGAAGGGGGUCAUUCUAGGAGGGUUUUCUACUGAGAGGAGCCAUUCUAGGAGGGUUUUCUACUGAAGGGGGCCAUUCUAGGAGGGUUUUCUACUGAGGGGGACCAUUCUAGGAGGGUUUUCUAUUGAAGGGGGGCCAUUCUAGGAGGGUUUUCUAUUGAAGGAGGCCAUUCUAGGAGUGUUUUCUAUUGAAGGGAACCAUUCUAGGAGGGUUUUCUAUUGAAGGAGGCCAUUCUAGGAGGUUUUCUACUGAAGGGAGCCAUUCUAGGAGGAUUUUGUAUUGAAGGGAGCCAUUCCAGGAGGGUUUUCUAUUGAGGGGAGCCAUUCUAGGAGGGUUUUGUAUUGAAGGGAGCCAUUCCAGGAGGGUUUUCUAUUGAGGGGAGCCAUUCUAGGAGGGUUUUCUAUUGAAGGAGGCCAUUCUAGGAGGUUUUCUACUGAAGGGAGCCAUUCUAGGAGGAUUUUGUAUUGAAGGGAACCAUUCUAGGAGGGUUUUCUAUUGAAGGAGGGCAUUCUAGGAGGGUUUUCUACUGAAGGAGGCCAUUCUAGAAGGGUUUUCUAUUGAGGGGGAGCCAUUCCAGUAGGGUUUUCUAUUGAGGGGAGCCAUUCUAGGAGGGUUUUCUAUUGAGGGGAGCCAUUCUAGGAGGGUUUUCUAUUGAAGGGAGCCACUCUAGGACGGUUUUCUACUGAAGGAGGCCAUUCAAGGAGGGUUUUCUAUUGAAGGGAGCCAUUCUAGGACGGUUUUCUACUGAAGGAGGCCAUUCUAGGAGGGUUUUCUAUUGAAGGGAGCCAUUCUAGGAGGGUUUUCUACUGAAGGGGGCCAUUCUAGGAGGGUUUUCUGCUGAAGGAAGCCAUUCUAGGAGGGUUUUCUAUUGAAGGGAGCCAUUCUAGGAUGGUUUUCUAUUGAAGGGAGCCAUUCUAGGAGGGUUUUCUACUGAAGGAGGCCAUUCUAGGAGGGUUUUCUAUUGAAGAGAGCCAUUCUAGGAGGGUUUUCUAUUGAAGGGAGCCAUUCUAGGAGGGUUUUCUAUUGAAGGGAGCCAUUCUAGGAGGGUGAGGUGCUUGUCACUUACUUGUGAGUGACACCUGUGAUGAACUGUGUUCAAAAGCAAAUUAUCAAAUGAGAAUAGAACCAUUUGGACUCUGUAGAGGAUAAGACUCUAAGGGUUCUAGGAGCAGGAUUGCUUCAACAUCUCAGACGUAUUUUCUUCUGGGAAGAGUCUUGCCAGAUAAGCAGAGUGAGAGAGUCUAUUAAACCGCACCUGUAUACAGCAUCUAGCAGGCAGCAGUGAGUGUACUGACAAUGCAUUUCCCAUUCUAACAAAAUGUGACUUUUGUGUGAGUUGCUCACCUGCGGGCGGUAUCACACACGCAUCAAAAUAAAAAUCAGUGGGGGUACUUAAAGCACCACAAAGUGGAGAGAGCAGAGGCUUUGCAGUGCACUGGUUCUGUGACUUUGCUCCAAGACUUGGUUUUCUCAUCUGUAAAAUGGAGACAAUAGCUCACAGAGAGGCUGGAGGUGAGGGUGACUGAGUGCUUUCUAGAUACUCAUCACCACUCCAGGGCUGGGAGGCUGGGCUGGCACAGACCCCUUGCUGUUGCUGAGCCCCCGCACCCGGGCCUGCCUAGGCCUCAGAUCCACUCACACAGAGGUCAGCGAAGGCUUCCAGAGGCGUCCAAAGGAAGCGUCUGUGCACCAGGUAGAUCCUUGUCCUGUGUGGGUCUCAUUUGGCCUGAGAAAAAGCCACAGCUCUUCACAGGGAGAGCCAGGGCCCCUCGCGUGGGAAGCUCGUGUGCUGUUAUUUUCCAGCGGAAUUCCAGGGUGGAAACACGGAGGCAGCUGACUAUCGAGAAUCCUAGGAGAAUGGGCUUUCUGUGUGACGUGUGCCUGGAAGGGCUUCCUGAGGCUUUAUUUCCCCUGCUCUUCCCUGCUCUGUCCCAGCAGAGCUGUUUUUGUAAAGCACACAUAGUAUUUGCCAUUCGUCACAUUUAUUAUGCCAGGGACUCUGUUCUCCAUCCCCCUCUGUGAGUUACGGCCCAUCCUAUGCUGUGUUUCCACACCCAUGUUGCAUUUGGCAGGAGCCUUCCUGACACCGAACCACCCUAAGCUGACAAAUGUCUAUAGCUCGGGGAGCACGAGAGGGAGCUCACGAGAUGGCAGACAGACCAGGAUGUGCACAGAACGUAACCCUGGGUUGUGGACUCAGCUUUCCUUCCUGAAGCGCCUGAAGCAAAUAGAGAAUAGUCGUAGUUGAGCCUGAGUUUCCAGAGGGGCAGAAAACCAACUUGCGUGUUUUCUUUUUAUUGUUGCUUUUUUGAAAAAAUGGUCCUAAUUUCAGCUUGUUUUUCCAACCAUGUGAAAGGAUGGACUGGACGCUGCGCAGAAGUGGAGAUCUUAGGUAAGAAGAAAGGAUAGGAAGGUUGAUGGGAAAUGAAUUGGCUGUCACUGUCCUUCCUGUCCAGAUGCAUUUGGAGGCUUUCUGGAGAAUGGUUUCCAAACUCAGUAUGUGCUGAAUGUUUCCCCAAUCUAUGGGGAAAUGAAAAGAAGACAGUGCAGUCAAUUUCUGAAAGUUAACCACUUUCAGCAUUAAUAGAACAAACGAAACCCUGGGAGCAGCCUUCAUGCUUGUUUGACGUUGCAGGGCGGCCUGUGAUUGAAGCCGUCAUGUAAGAUGAUGCUGUGAGAUGUGAGUGAGUGCACGUGCCUGUGAUGUGCGCUGGGUCUGUGAAGUGUGCACGUGCCUGUGACGUGUGCUGGGUCUGUGAGGUGUGAAUGUGUCUAUGAGGUGUGCAUGUGCCUAUGAAGUGUGCUGGGUCUGUGAGGUGUGCACGGGUCUGUGAGAUGUGCAUGGGUCUGUGAGGUGUGCACGUGCCUAUGAUGUGUGCACGUGCCUAUGAAGUGUGCUGGGUCUGUGAGGUGUGCACGGGUCUGUGAGGUGUGCAUGGGUCUGUGAGGUGUGCACGUGCCUAUAAUGUGUGCACGUGCCUAUGAAGUGUGCUGGGUCUGUGAGGUGUGCACGUGCCUAUGAAGUGUGCUGGGUCUGUGAGGUGUGAAUGUGUCUAUGAGGUGUGCAUGUGCCUAUGAAGUGUGCUGGGUCUGUGAGGUGUGCACGGGUCUGUGAGAUGUGCAUGGGUCUGUGAGGUGUGCACGUGCCUAUGAAGUGUGCUGGAUCUGUGAGGUGUGCACGGGUCUGUGAGGUGUGCAUGGGUCUGUGAGGUGUGCACGUGCCUAUGAAGUGUGCUGGAUCUGUGAGGUGUGCAUAGGUCUGUGACGUGCUGGGUCUGUGAGGUGUGUACGGGUCUGUGAGGUGUGCAUGGGUCUGUGACAUGUGCUGGGUCUGUGAGGUGUGCACGGGUCUGUGAGGUGUGCACGUGCCUAUGAAGUGUGCUGGGUCUGUGAUGUGUGCACAGGUCUGUGAGGUGUGCACGGGUCUGUGAGGUGUGCAUGGGUCUGUGAGGUGUGCACGUGCCUAUGAAGUGUGCUGGAUCUGUGAGGUGUGCAUAGGUCUGUGACGUGCUGGGUCUGUGAGGUGUGUACGGGUCUGUGAGGUGUGCAUGGGUCUGUGACAUGUGCUGGGUCUGUGAGGUGUGCACGUGCCUAUGAAGUGUGCUGGGUCUGUGAUGUGUGCACAGGUCUGUGAGGUGUGCACGGGUCUGUGAGGUGUGCAUGGGUCUGUGAGGUGUGCACGUGCCUGUGAUGUGUACUGUAUCUGUGAGGUGUGCACGGGUCUGUGAGGUGUGCAUGGGUCUGUGACAUGUGCUGGAUCUGUGAGGUGUGCAUGGGUCUGUGACGUGUGCUGGAUCUGUGAGGUGUGCACGGGUCUGUGACAUGUGCUGGAUCUGUGAGGUGUGCACGGGUCUGUGACAUGUGCUGGGUCUGUGAGGUGUGCACGGGUCUGUGACAUGUGCUGGGUCUGGGUCUGUGAUGUGUGCAUGUGCUUAUGGAGUAUGCUGGAUCUGUGAGGUGUGCAUGGGUCUGAGAGGUGUGCAUGGGUCUGUGACACGUGCUGGGUCUGUGGGGUGUGCAUGGGUCUGUGACAUGUGCUCGGUCUGUGAUGUGUGCACGUGCCUGUGAAGUGUGCUGGGUCUGUGAGGUGUGCAUAGGGUGGGUGAGGUGUGCACGUGCCUGUGAAGUGUGCAUGGGUCUUCAGUGUGUCUGCAUCUGGCAUGUGAGAGAUCCAGCAGUGCCAUACUGUCCCUGAAAUUAGGGGAAAACAAUGAGAAACCCAAACAUCUGCAAGUAACUGCUUUCCAUUUUCAGGGAAGAUUUAUAGCCUUUUUUUUUUUUUUUUUUGAGAGACAUUGAGUGUCCCGCAGCCCUGCAGUGGCACUGUUUUUACAGACCCUCUCUCUCACAUACAGCUUUCUAUAUUCACCCUGCACAGCCCUGACCCCCGGGACCCCACACACCCUCUGUGCCUGGUGCAGGGCUCAGCUACCCCUGUCUGUGGGGCCCUUCCCUGUGGAUGGUGCUUUUGGGGGUUUGGGGUCAGGGAGUGUGAGGGUUGGUUCCUUGGCUGGGUAAGUCAGAUGCAUCUGCCAGCCGAAGGUCACACGUGGGUUUGAGCAGCCUCUCCUUGUGCUUGCUGGAACACAUGCUCCACACCCGUGUGCCACCUGCACGCCACAGUGCCCGACUCCGGGGCUGCUUUCUGCCCGGGCCUUCCUCCGCCUUACCAAGCCCAGAACAUCACUGAUGGCAGGGCUGGAAAUGCAAAGAUGGCCAAGCUACAGAAAAUAAAUUAAAUACAAAGAAAACAUGGAGAGAGGUGGCUUAGUGUCCGACUUGCCUAGUUUCCUGUUGGCGCUCCCAGAGUGAUGGCAGAAAUCGUCUUCCCUCAGCUCCCGGAAGACCCAGCACUGUGUGUGCUGAAGGCUGUGGAUUUUCAGGCCAGACUCCCUGGGUUCACGUUCCAGUCCCCAUUUUCUGUGUGACCUUGGGCGUGUUUCUUUUUUUUUUCUUUUUUAACUUUUAUUUUUGGUUCCGCGGUACAUGUGAAGGCUUCUUACUUAGGUUAACUCAUGUCACAGAGAUGUAUUGUAUAGGUUAUUUCAUCACCCAGGUUUAAUUAAGCCCGCUACUCAAUAGUUAUAUUUCAUGGUCCCCUCCCCGCUCCCAUAUGCCACCCUCCGAUAGACCCCAGAGUGUGUUCUUCCCCUCUGUGUGUCCAUGUGUUCUCAUUAUUUAGAUCCCACUUGUAAGUGAGAACAUGCAGUAUUUGUUUUUCUCUUCCUGGGUUAGUUUGCUAAAGAUAAUGGCCUCCAGCUCCAUCCAUGUUCCUGCAGAGGUCAUGGGUCUUAUUCUUUUUAUGGCUGUAUAGUAUUCCAUGGUAUAGAUGUACCACAUUCUCUAUAUUCAGUCUGUCAUUGCUGGGCAUUUAAGUUGAUUCCAUGUCUUUGCUUUUGUGAAUAGUGCUGCAGUGAGCAUUCACGUGCAUGUGUCUUUAUGGUAGAAUGAUUUAUAUUCCUCUGGAUAUAUACCCGCUAAUAGAAUUGCUGGGUUGAAUGGCAGUUCUGCUUGUAACUCUUUGAGGAAUCACCACACACUGCUUUCCACAGGGGUUGAACUACUUUACACUCCCACCGACAGUGUAUAAGUGUUCCUUUUUCUCCACAACCUCACCAGCAUCCGUUAUUUUUUGACUUUUUAAUGAUGGCCAUUCUGACUGGUGUGUGAUGAUAUCUCAUUGGGGUUUUGCUUUGCAUUUCUCUAAUGAUAAAUGAUAUUUAAGUUUUUUCAUAUGCUUCUUGGCCACAUGUAUGUCUUCUUUUAAAAAGUGUGUUCAUGUCCUUUGCCCAUUUUUUUUUUUUUUUUUUUUUGAGACAGAGUUUUGCUCUGUUGCCCAGGCUGAAGUGCAGUGGUGUGAUCUUGGCUCACUGCAAGCUCCGCCUCCCCGGUUCAUGCCAUACUCCUGACUCAGCCUCCCGAUUAGCUGGGACUACAGGCAUCCACCACUACACCCGGCUAAUUUUUUGUAUUUUUAUUAGAGACAUGGUUUCACCAUGUUAGCCAGGAUGGUCUCGAUCUCCUCACCUCAUGAUUCACCUGCCUCAGCCUUACAAAGUGCUGGGAUUGCAGGCGUGAGCCACCGCGCCCGGGCGUCCUUUGCCCACUUUUUAAUAGGGUUGUUUUUCUCUUGUAAAUUUGUUUAAGUUCCUUAUAGAUACUGGAUAUGAGACCUUUGUCAGAUGCGUAGUUUGCAAAUAUUUUCUCCCAUUCUAGUAGUUUGUCUGUUCGCUCUGAUGAUAGUUUCUUUUGCUCUACAGAGGUUCUUAAGUUUAAUUGGAUCCCAUUUGUCAAUUUCCCCUUUUGUUGCAGAAAUUGCAUGAAUCAUGAAAUCUUUGCUCAUUCAGGAUGAUAUUGCCUAGGUUGUCUCCCAGGGUUUUUAUAAUUUUGGGUUUUACAUUUAAGUCUUUAAUCCAUCUAGAGUUGCUUUUUGUACAUGGCAUAAGGAAGGGGUCCAGCUUCAAUCUUCUACGUAUGACUAGCCGGUUAUCCCAGCACCCUUUGUUGACUAGGGAGUCUUUUCCCCAUUAAUUAUUUUUGUCAGCUUUGUCUAAGAUCAGAUGGUUGCAGGUGUGUAACCUUAUUUUUGGGCUGUCUAUUCGGUUCCAUUGGUCUGUGUGUCUGUUUUUGUACCACUGUCAUGCUGUUUGUUACUGUAGCCCUGUAGUAUCAUUCAAAGUUGGAUAAUAUGAUGCCUCCAGCUUUGUUCUUUUUGCUUAUGAUGGCCUUGGAUAUUUGGGCUUUUUUUUGGUUCCAUAUGAAUUUUACAAUAGUUUUUUUCUAGUUCUGUAAAGAGUGUCAUUGGUAUUUUGAUAGGAAUAGCAAUGAAUCUAUAAAUUGCUUUGGGCAGUAUGGCCAUUUUAAUUAAGUUGAUGCUUUCUAUCCAUGAGCCUGGAAUAUUUUUCCAUUUGUGCAUUCUCAGAUUUCUUUGAGGAGCAUUUGGUAAUUCUCAUUGAAGAGAUCUUUAACCUCCCUUGUCAGCUGCAUUCCUAGGUAUUUUAUUCUUUUUGUGGCAGUUGUGAAUGUAAUUACCUUCCUGAUUUAGCUCUCAGCUUGGCUGUUUUUGGUGUGUAAGAAUGCUAGUGAUUUUUGUACAUUGAUUUUGUAUCCUGCAACUCUGGUUAAGUUGUUUAUCAGCUGAGAGAGCUUUUGAGCCAAGACUGGGGUUUUCUAGAUAUAGAAUCUUGUCAUCUACAAACAGGGGUACUUUGACUUCCUCUCUUUCUGCUUGGAUGCCCUUUAUUUUUUCUAUUGCCUGAUUGCCCUGGCCAGAACUUCCAAUACUAUGUUGAAUGGGACUAGUGAGAGUCGGCGUCCUUGUCUUGUGCUAGUUUUCAAGGGGAAUUCUUCCAGCUUUUACCUAUGCAGUAUGAUGCUGGCUGUGGGGAUGUCAUAGAUGGCUCUUAAUAUUUUGAGGUAUGUUCCUUCAAUACCUAGUAUAUUGAGAAUUUUUAACAUGAAGAGGUAUUGGAUUUUAUUAAAAGCCUUUUCUGCAUCUAUUGAGACAAUCAUAUGGUUUUUGUCUUUAGUUCUGUUUAUGUGAUGAAUCACAUUGAUUGAUUUGUGUAUGUUGAACCAACCUUGCAUCCAGGAGAUGAAGCCUACUUGAUUGUGGUGGAUUAGCUUUUUGAUAUGCUGUUGGAUUUGGUUUGCAAGAAUUUUGCUGAGGAUUUUUUUCAUCGAUGUUCAUCAAGGAUAUUGGCCUGAAGUUUUCUUUUUUUGUUGUGUCUCUGCCAGGUUUUGGUAUUAGGAUGACGCUGGCCUCAUAGAAUGAGUUGGGGAGGAGUCCCUCCUUUUCAGUUUUUUUUAAUAGGUUCAGUAGAAAUAGUACCAGCUCUGCUUUAUACAUCUGGUAGAGUUCAGCUGUAAAUUCAUCUGUCCUGGGCUUUUUUUUGGUUGAUAAACUAUUCAUUACUGAUUCAAUUUCAGAGCUUGUUAUUGGUCUGCUCAAGGAAUCAGCUUCUUCCUGGUUCAGUCUUGGGAGGGUGUAAGUGUCCAGGAAUUUAUCCAUCUCUUCUAGGUUUUCUAGAUUGUGUGCAUAGAGGUGUUCAUAGUAGUUUUUGGUGGUUAUUUUUAUUUCUGUGGGGUCAGUGGUAACAUUCUCUUUGUCAUUUCUAAUUGUAUUUAUUUGGGCCUCCUCUCUUUUCUUCUUUAUUAUUCCAGCUAGCAGCCUAUCUUACUAAUUUUUUUUUUCAAAAAAUGAACUCCUAGAUUCAUUGAUUUUUUUCAAUGGUUUUUCGUGUCUUGAUUUUCUUCAGCUCUGAUUUUGGUUAUUUCUUGUCUUCUGCUAGCUUUGGAGUUGAUUUGUUCUUGCUUCUCCAAUUCUUUUAAUUGUGAUGUUAGGUAGUUAAUUUGAGAUCUUUCCAACUUUUUGAUGUGGCAUUUAGUGCUACGAAUUUUCCUGUUAACACUGCCUUAGCUGUGUCCCAGAGAUUCUGGUAUGUUCUUUCUUUGUUCUUAUCAGUUUCAAAGAACUUCUUGAUUUCUGCCUUAAUUUCAUUAUUUACCCAAAGUCAUUCAGGAGGAUGUUGUGUAAUUUCCAUGUAAUUUCAUGGUUUUGAGUGAUUUUCUGAGUCUUAACUUCUACUUUUAUUGUGCUGUGGUCCAAGAUUGUAUUUGGCAUGGUUUCAGUUCUUUAGCAUUUGCCUGAGGAUUAUGUUCAAUUAUGUGGUCUGUUUUAGAGUGUGUGCCAUGUGGCAAUAAGAAGAAUGUGCAUUCUGUUGUUUUGGGGUAGAGUGUUCUAUAGAGGUCUGUCAUAUGCAUUUGGUCCAAUGUGGAGUUCAGAUCCUGAAUAUCUUCAUUAAUUCUCUCUCAGUGAUCUGUCUAACACUGUCAGUGGAAUGUUGACGUCUUCCACUAUUAUUGUGUGGGAGUCUUUUUCUCUUUGAAGGUCUCUAAGCCCUGCUUUAUGAAUCUGGGUGCUCCUGUGUUGGAUGCAUAUAUAUUUAGAAUAGUUAGGCCUUCUUGUUGAAUUGAACCCUUUACUGGGCAUGUUUCUUAACCACGGGGAAUAACUUUUCAUCUGAAAAUUGGAGUAGUAAUAACUACUUUAUAAAAAUAUUGUGAAGAUUCUGAGUUUGUGUAUGUAAAGUGCCUAAGACAGUGCCUACCACACCAUAGAUGCUGUAGAAAUUUAAAUGAUCUAAAUACAGUGGUGGCAUCUUUAGGGAUCCUUCUUGUAGGCAGUGGUAAAAUCAAACAAUUCAGAGGACGGAGGUGUAGCUGUGAAGUGUCUGUGCUGCCAGGGAUCCCCAGUGCUGAGACCACUGGCUAUGUAGAGUUACAGCUGGUGCUUUGGCAUGAGAAUUCACAUCAGCGGUCAGCCACACUCAUUUUAAGGCACAAAUGACAGUUUUCGAAUUUGUUGAGAUGAUCUCAUUUGGGCUCUUCUUCUAGUCAGUCAUUUAUCCCUGCCACACACAGGGGACUGUGCCAGGUGUAUGGAACGUUGUUGUCCUUUGCUCAGUGAUGGGACAUAAUGGGCCUGGAAUCUUCUAGAAGGCAUGAGAGCAUCACUCAUAGACAUCAGUGCCCAGGAAACGAUCCCAGCAGACAGCACCGUGGGAGCCAUUCACUCCGUCAGACGUGGCCAGUGACAGUCACUUGGGAGGACUUUCCAGGGGUUCUUGGAAAGCUGGGGGUGUGGGCCUGGUGGGUGUCUGUGGUUUUGGAGAUCUUGGCCUUGAUGCGGUACGCAAUCCCAUCCCCAUGGGGUGCGCAGGCGUCAGCUGGGGACACCCGCACUGGCCUUCCGUGUGAGAAGGGAGCAGGCCCUCCCCGUUCAUCUGGGUCCUGACAUGCUCUUGGGUUUUCUGUAUUGUCAAGUGACUAAGGGUUACCGACCACCCUCCAAAGCACCAGCUGUGUCUCAGCCACAGCCUGGACGAAGAGUGAGCGGUUGAUGCCCGGAAGACUUGGGGUCAGAAAACCUGGGUUUGGAUUUAAAUUCUACAAUUUGGUGCUAGAUAACCUUACAAGAGGCAUUGAGGGUUUUCUUAUUUCUUCAGUUUCUUUAUCUGUAAAGUGGGGGUGACAAUAUUCACCUCACAUUGAGAAUGGGGCAGAUAAUAUAUUUGAAAAUAUCCAGUAAUUACAAUCCCUGCACUUAGGGAGGCCAAUGUGAGUGAAUUGCCUGACCCCAGGCAUUUGAGACCAGCCUGGGCAACUUGGCAAAACCCCAUCUCUACAAAAAAAUAAAAACAGUUAGCCACACGUGGUGGCAUGCCUGUAGUCCCAGCUAACUCAGGAGGCUCUCAGAGGUGGAAGGAUUGCCUGAGUUCAGGAGGUCAAGGCUACAGUGAGCUGUGAUUGUGCCACUGCACUCCAGCCUAGGUGACAGGGCAAAACCCUGUCUCAAAAAAAAGAGAAAAAAAAAGAGAAUAUUCAUUACUGUAUCUGGAACACGAAGAACUGAAUAAAAAUUAGUUGACUCUGAGUCUGAACACAGUUGAUGGGAAGACAGAAACCAAAGCAAAACCUCUUCCGCAGCCAACAGCUACUGGCUUCCUCUGCGGAAGGGAGAUCCCAGGAUCGCUUCUGCCAAAAGAAAGCUGAAAAAUAAACCCGAUGUGCAGUCCUCAGAUGAACCCUGUGCUUCUCUGCAGGAUCCCAAAGCUUUAUGGGUUUUUAAAAUUUGCUACAGCAAUUUCAUCUCCUUGGGACCCAGCAUCAAGAAGAGGUUUUGGAAAACCCAACACCGUCUCUUUGACCUGUCUUGGAAAACCCAACACCGUCUGUUUGACCUGUCUUCUUGAGGUGAGCCUGUGGACAAAGCACAGUGCCGAGCUAGUGCCUCGGGGCUGUGCCCUCUCUGAGGCUGAUGGCACAACCCUGGGCAGGUGUGCAGACAGAUCCCACCACUCAGAGGUGCCACACUGGGGACGCCACGCUGGGGAUGCGGUGACGAUGCACGGUCUUCUUUGAGCCAAGAAAUUGAAGCCAAAGGUUAGAAAUGUGUAGUGGGUUAUGGGUGAUCAAGUGUCAGAUUCACAGAGAAGAAACAGGCUCACGGUGGGAAGAUGCUUAGAAAUGAGGACUGAGGGUGGGGUGGACGCUGUGUAGGACAAGCCUGAACCAAGACGGCCUUUUCAUUCCUGACCGUCAGAUUCAGAGAGAAGAAACAGGCUCAUGGUGGGAAGAUGCUUAGAAAUCAGGACUGAGGGUGGGAUGGACGCUGAGUAGAGCAAGUCUGAACUGAGAUGGCCUUUUCAUUCUUACCCUGUGGUUGCCGGAGUGAGGGGAGGGCAGUAGAGAGGAGGGGGAGGCGGCUGUUCUCCAGACCAGGACUCUUUGUAAGACACCCCCAGGGGGCUCCCCCAGGAGAGCAGGCACACAGAAUCACCUGCGCAUUCUUGACACUCACUUGGGCUCAGAGCCUCCCCCUUUCACAGUGGGCAGCACUGGUUCACAGUUAGGCUUUUGAAAGUUUUUUUUUUUCCUUUAAGAAAAUCAGACAAAAGUAUCAGCAAUUCAAACAUGGAAAAAGCAUUUUAAAAUAAAAGUUAAUGAGUAGAUACCGUUUUCCAGAUGGAAUAGUUCCAAUGAAAUUAUAAAGCAAAUUCGUUAAUAUUGAUAUGCUUUCAAAAGUUGUAUAGAUUCAUUUGGUCUUAAGUGGUUUUGACCUGAAUGCUGUACCUCAGCUCCCAAAAGCAUUGCAUGUCAGUUGACAGAGGAGCGGGCGGAGUGGGGAAAUUAACCGCAGUUCAGAAAGUGCUUUAAUGGCUUUUUCUAAAAUGCAUUCAUUACACUUUAAAUAGGCCAUGUCUGGAGAUUCUGAAGUCCCUUAUGUAAGUAGGAUGUGAGCUCGGGGGAACUUCUUCAGCUUCACUCUGGUGCUGAUUCCAGCAUCUGCAGCUCUUGACCCCGUAGUGUGUGAGCAGAGACUGAGAAACUUUCGAAACUGCAUUACAUUGUCUUUGUUCAGUUCCUUACGUGACUGAGGACAGUGAAAAGAGCCCACCUGGUGUAAAGUGCUCAUUUUAGCUGCCAAGAAAAGCCUAAUUUAUUUUCAGGGCAAAACUUCUGCACUGGGACAAAUGUCUUCAUUAUAAUCCAAAAGCAGCAUCAGGAAAAGAAGCUAAACUGUGCGAAUAGAAAUGAAUGGGGCUGCUGCUGCUGCUGCUGCUUUCUUUUUAAUCAGUAGAAAUGGAAUUCUGCCUCCCAAACAGAAGUCUAGGAGGAACUGCAGACGGCCCCUGUACUGAGGGCAUUUUGUCAGUGCUUAGAGCAACCUUCAAGAUCAUGACACUCUGCUAUGAGGACCGAAAGAACUUGGAGAUAAAUAUACAUGUACUAUGUGGUGGGACCGUUUUUGAAUCUGAACUAAAUUAAAUGAUGGAAAACGACCUUGGGUGAGUUCUUCAUGGCUGUACUUCCUGGAAUGAUACAAUUUUUCAAAAUAAUUUGUUUCCUCGAAAUGACACCAACACCUAUAGUUAAGUUUAAAUUUAUGGGACUAGGUGAGUGUUAUUUUGUGAGACAUAGCAUUAUGCUUACAUAGAAUAAUUUAUCGUUUGAUGUUCAAUAUCAUUUUAUUUAAGCAUAACUGUGGAGAACCAUUCAAGUGACUGUAUAAUUACUUCAUAUAAAUACUUAAUAGACAACUUUACCAUUAACUAUUUUCCUACUACUUUAUAACCGAUUCUAUUUUCAAUUGAUAAGUGAUUUUUUCCCAUUUAAGUACUGAUUUGCAGUUUGGCCCAUAUUAUUUUGCACUGAGAUGGCAUAAAUGCCACAUCCUUCCCGCACUUAAGGCAUGCAAUUUGCAGAAUAAGACGUAAAUUUUAAGUAGGUUUGGAAUCUUUUGUAGGACUACUUUUAUUUCAGCCUUUGACAUAAUAUAAGCUUGUUAAUUCAUCUGCAAAAUAUUUUAGUGUCCAGCGUGUUUAGCUAGAAAGAAGCUCCAGUUGCCUCCCCAUGCUCUUACAUGGGAGGCUGACUGUGCAUCUACUGCAGUGCGUCAUGUGAGUGCUGGUUUUAUUCCAUGACACCAAGAACAUUGCUUAACUUCUGUACUCAUCAGUUCAUAAAUGAGCACAAGGCCCAUUGCUUCUCGCAGUUCAGCCCUGCUGCUCUUCUUCAGCAGAUCGGGGUAGCAGGGGCAGUAGCUGAGAGAUGCUGAGCAGCCUGAGGCUUCUGGGUGCCGUGCCUGGAACUGGUCCCACCACAGCACACACGCUGUUUCCUCAUGUGAACAGCUGAGCUUCAAGUGAUGGCAUGUGUGAGAGGCUUCGCCACUCAACUUUGAAUUUAAGUAUCCCCAGGGACUGUCAAACUUUUUAUAUCCAAUGGGGAAUUUCACCUUGAAGUUGGACCACAGCUGCCUCUAGAGUUGGUACAAGUUGUGAGAGUCACAGUUGACCCUACCUUGACUUAGGAGAGUGGUUGGCACCAUGAUUUUAAAUAAAAUACAGUGAAUGGGGUCCAGCACCCUAGCUUAUUCUGCUUUAGGGACUUCUCACUAGAAAGGUUUCCUUGUAGUUGGGAAGACCCUUUCUGGAAGGCUGCUAUAGGAAAUGGCUAAGAUGAAAAGUGGGACUCAGCACUUUUAGGGCUGGGCUGAAAAAUGAGUCUGCUGGCAAAACCCUGUGUCAGGCAGCAACUUAUAACAAAAACAGGAAAAUCCCUACUACAUCUUAGCUAAGUUGGAAAUUCAAACAUCUUUGCAGGUCCCAUUUCACCACCGUUGGGUCUGUGGACGUAACCCUACUGAGAGUUAGGCUAAGGGUUCAGCCCCUUCAUUUAUGGGAGGAGGAAGAGAGCCAUCCUCCAUGCAGCUGCUUCUGUGGCUCACACCCAGACACGGAGGGGUCAAGCAGCAGUCAGGGCCAAGGCCUGAGAAGCUCAAAUCACACUCAUUAGGCAUCUUCGUUCCAGCCAACAUGCGUCCGAAUGAGAACAAUACGAAGGGGCACCCCUUCAGAAUUUGUGAACACUAACCCUAGUCCUUCAGAUACCAUGACAGCUAUGCUGGUAUCUUAAGAAUCCAUGACUGUCCAUUCUAGACCCUUCAGAAACCAUAACCACCUUUCUGCUACUUUCAUAGCCCACAGCCACCCAUCCUUCGGAACCCACAGCUACCCAGCUGCCCAUCUUCAUCCCCUCAGAACCGAUGACCACCCAUCCUUGUCCAUUAGGACCCAUGACCACCCAUCCUUGCCCAUUAGGACCCAUGACCACCCAUCCUCAUUCCUUCAGAACUCAUGACUAUAAACCCUAGUCCUUUGGAUGCCAUGAUGCCUAUCCUGGUAUCUUUAGAAUCCGUUACCGCCCAUUCUAGACUUUGCAGAACCCAUGAACACCCAUCCUAAUUUAUUUAGAAACUAGUCAUUCUAGUCCCAUCCUAGUCCCUUCAGAACCCCUCGUCUCCCAUCCUCGUCCAGUUAGAACCCAUGACCACCCAUCCUUGUCCCUUCAGAACCCGUGACCACCCAUCGUCAUUCCUUCAGAUCCCAUGACCUCCCAUCCUCAUCCAGUUAGAACCCAUGACCUGCCAUCCUUAUCCCUUUAGAAACCCUGACCACCCAUCCUCGUCCCUUCAGAACCCAAGACCUCCCAUCCUUAUCCCUUUAGAACCCCUGGCCACGCAUCCUUGUCCCUUCAGAACCCAUGACCUCCCAUCCUUAUCCCUUUAGAACCCCUGAUCACCCAUCCUCAUUCCUUCAGACCCCAUGACCUCCCAUCCUCGUCCAGUUAGAAGCCAUGACCACCCAUCCUCAUCCAGUUAGAUCCCAUGACCACCCGUCCUCCCCUUUGGAACCCAUGACCUCCCAUCCUUGUCCAGUUAGAACCCAUGAACACCCAUCCUCGUCCCUUCAGAACCCAUGACCUCCCAUCCUCGUCCAGUUAGAAGCCAUGGCCACCCAUCCUCGUCCCUUCAGAACCCAUGACCACCCAUCCUCGCCCAGUUAGAACCCAUGACCUGCCAUCCUUAUCCCUUUAGAAACCCUGACCACCCAUCCUCUUCCCUUCAGAACCCCUGACCACCCAUCCUCAUCCCUUCAGAACACAUGACCUCCCAUCCUCAUCUCUCUAGAACCCAUGACCUCCCAUCCUUGUUCCUCCAGAAUCCAUUACCACCUAUCCUUGUUCCUUCAGAACUCAUGACCACCCAUCUUCUUCCCAUUAGAACCCAUGACCUCCCAUCCUCUUUCCUUCAGAACCCAUGACUACCCAUCUUCAUCCCUUCAGAACCCCUGAUCACCCAUCCUCAUGUCUUCAGAACCCCUGACCACCCAACCUCAUCUUUCCUGAACCCAUGACCACCCAUCCUUGUCCCUUUAGAACCCACAACCACCCGUCUUCAUCUUUCCUGAACCCAUGACCACCCAUCCUUGUCUCCUUAGAACCCGUGGCCUCUCAUCCUCAUUCCUUUAGAAUUCAUGACAACACAUCCUUGUCUCUUCAGAACUUAUAACCUUCUAUCCUUGUUCCUUUAGCAUCCAUGAGCAUCUGUCCUAUUUUGGCCAUUUGCUCAGAAUUUCAUUUAAUGGGAGACAGACCCUCCUAGGUAUUGAGUGCUUCUUUCUCAUGGUGUUGCCCCAACCCAUACAGAAUUUCAUUUAAUGGGAGACAGACCUUCCUAGGGAUUGAGUGCAUUUGCCCCUCGUGGUAAUGCCCCAAGCCAUUGAGCCAGAGAUUGCACUCCCUUAGGUGAACUUUGAGCCAGAUGUGGACUGGUGUUACUACGGUUACCAUCAGGUUCCGGUCUUGUUUAUGGCUUUAGGGAUCAUUCGGUUCCACAGCAGACUCUCAUUUCAUGGAAGAAUGAAAUGGGACAUCACUGGGUGACCCUGUUUCUCCUCUUCUGUCCAUGGAGACAGAGUUUUCAUGACACGCACAGGUUUUGCCAGUUGGAUCCUCUGGUCAGGACUGAAAGAACCUCUGAGUCACUGGUGACACAUGAGAUUCUAAAUGGCUUUCCCUAGGAUGGGCUGAUCUUUACCAAUGGGCUGUUUAAAUGUGCAGCUGAGGAGGAUUCCUGGGAGCUCUGUUACUGCCAUCCAGAGCUGAGGGGAACGUAGAGAAAGAUCACAUUUUUGAUCCCACAAUAGGUUGAAUCGCAUUUAAGAAAAUCCUUUUUCUUUUAUCAUAAACUGUUUUGUCAUAGUAAACUUGUUUCCCUUUGGUGAUUUAUGUACAUUUUUCCUGCUUACUAUGUGUAGGUCUCUCAAAAAUACAUAUUGGUUUUUAUAACAAGGUAGAACUGAUACUUCUCUUUGAAGAAUUAUUUUUUAGUUGAUAAAGUAGAAGCUAUACUCCCUUUCUUCCUCCCUCUUUCCCUCUCAUUUCCUCCCUCCCUUCAUCUUCUUUUUUCUUUUUUUUUUCUUUUCUGGAAGCUGUCUUUUUAAGUUUGAUUCAGUCUUGAAAAUACCAUUUCUCUCAUUUCUCCUGACCAGUAGCUCCCCUCGUAUUUGAUGGUGAAGAUUUGUUAGGCUCUAAAUGGAAUCAUAGGAGCUCUGGGAAGAGUGUGAUACCAGCUCUUAAGAACCUCACACAACAGGAGCUUUGGCUUAGGUCCGCCAGAUAGAGGGUGAUCAGGAGAUACAGUUAAACUCAGCAUAAUUCUAUGCCUUCAAAUCUUUUAUACAAACUGGGUUGGGGGCACUAAAUAUUCAAAUGUAUUUGAAAAUAACUAUGCAAAUCUUUCUGUCAAAAUAUCUCACAUUUCAGAGAAUAAGUUUCGCUCAGAAGCUUGGAAUGAUCGCCUUUGACAAUUUUGUGAAUUAUGAACCAAAAGGCUUCCCCAUUAAUCAACUUUUAUAGAAAUUUUAGUUACUAAUGGCUUUUGCAUUCUAAAAUGUAAAGCAAAGAAUAAUGAAAAAUGUUUUUUAUUACUAUAAACUCACAUGGUGGUUCUUUUAUGUUUCACUUCUCAGUUCCCAUGAGGCGGGUGAUAAUAUUUAAAUUUGCUCAAGUAACACCUGAGGCUUAGUAGGUACAGCCUCCACCCGGUCAGAAUGAGACACCAGGACCUAGUGAGUCCAUGCCCAUUGUUUUCCAGUAAACAAGGAGGUUCCUCAUAGUAUUUUCCAAGCACACAUAUCAUGGAAAGAUGCCUGUUAGCUUUGGAGACUCUAAAAGGAAAAAUCAUUACAGUGUCAGAUGUUUGGUCUAAAACCUGGAAAAGUGAUACAUUAUAAACCUGAGAAGGCCAUUCAAAUAAUGUGUAAUUUAUCUUUCCUUUAUUCCUAAGGGAAAAAAAGAAAUAGUUCUAUGCACAACCUCUUUUUCUCUUUUUUUCUCUAUGUACAACCUCUUUUUCUCCUCCUCCAGUUCCUAGGUGUCUCUCCCUGCCUUUCUCUCACCACCUUCCUGACUCCCUUUAGGAAUAAAACUUCAGCACUUUGUACAUUUUUCAAUAUUAAUUAAUAAUGUCAAGGAUUAACCUCACCUUUUCCUCAGUAUUCUUUCCUGUUUGCCUAAAAAUUAUUUUAUUUUUCAGAAGAAUUUUCUUUCUUCUGAAACAAAGAACAUGGUCUAAUUGACAGCAUGCAUUCAGGUUGCUCCCCAGAGCAGGCAGUGACCUUCUUUUCCUUGCCUGUUUUUGGAGGAAGUGAGAGCGUGGUAUUCUUAAAAAAAAUUCAGCCCUUCAUUUUCCCUGUAUGCAGACCAAACAGCACUGUCCUGGCACCGUGAAUGUUUCUCAUGCAUAUCGUUUCCCCAGAGUUUAACGCCAAUAAAAAUGUCAGGUGCUAAUCUAAA